UUACGACUAUAAUUACGGUGAAACACCGGUUUUUGUACGAUCACGGAAGUUAAGCAACGUCGAGCAUGGUCAGUAUCAAGAUGGAUAACCGUUUGGGAAUACCAGAU